UGGGGAAUAUUGCACAAUGGGGGAAACCCUGAUGCAGCGCCGCCGCGUGAACGAAGAAGGUAUUCGUAUCGUAAAGUUCUGUCCUAUGGGAAGAUAAUGACAGUACCAUAGAAGAAAGCUCCGGCUAAAUACGUGCCAGCAGCCGCGGUAAUACGUAUGGAGCGAGCGUUGUCCGGAAUUAUUGGGCGUAAAGGGUACGCAGGCGGUUUAAUAAGUCGAAUGUUAAAGAUCGGGGCUCAACCCCGCAAAGCAUUGGAAACUGAUAAAAUUGAGUAGUGGAGAGGAAAGUGGAAUUCCUAGUGUAGUGGUGAAAUACGUAGAUAUUAGGAGGAAUACCAGUAGCGAAGGCGACUUUCUUGACACAAACUGACGCUGAGGUACGAAAGCGUGGGGAGCAAACAGG
rnacentral:rRNA from 1 species